rnacentral:rRNA from 1 species
CGGGUUGUAAGCUUUUUCAGCCGGNGANGAUAAUNACGGUACCNGNNNAAGAANCCCCGGCUAACUCCGUGCCAGCAGCCGCGGUAAUACGGAGGGGGCUAGCGUUGUUCGGAAUUACUGGGCGUAAAGCGCACGUAGGCGGAUUNNAAAGUUGGGGGUGAAAUCCCAGGGCUCAACCNUNUANCUGCCUUCAAAACUGCNAGUCUUGAGUUCGAGAGAGGUGAGUGGAAUUCCGAGUGUAGAGGUGAAAUUCGUAGAUAUUCGGNGGAACACCAGUGGCGAAGGCGGCUCACUGGCUCGAUACUGACGCUGAGGUGCGAAAGUGUGGGGAGCAAACAGGAUUAGAUACCCUGGUAGUCCACACCGUAAACGAUGAAUGCCAGUCGUCGGGCAGCAUGCUUGUCGGUGACACACCUAACGGAUUAAGCAUUCCGCCUGGGGAGUACGGUCGCAAGAUUAAAACUCAAAGGAAUUG